UCAGGCCAGCUAGCCGAUGAGAAAUCGAAAACAAAGAAACCAGCAAUGCACGAAAGAUGAUGGGGAAAUAAUCACGAACGGUAACUGUGCAUGCAGUAUAUUAAGUAAGGCAUAUCGUUCAACAAAACCCAGUAAGCACCUUAGUCCUCCUGGGCCAUCAAUGGUAAUCAUUCAUGAUUAUAACUGUAAACUGCAAAUCAUCGUUUCAAUAGGUUCUCAAACAACAAUUUCAUCACAAGAUCUUGCUAUAUUAAACUGCAUCCAUGGUUGCAUCAACAAACCUCUGCUGCCUGAGAUCCAUUCAAAUCGCUAGGUGUGUUAACUGUGCUCUCAAAGUGAGUUAAUCACAAUGAACAAGAAAACAUCUUUUCUUGAAAUGAGAAUGUUUGCAAAU
rnacentral:lncRNA from 1 species